rnacentral:lncRNA from 1 species
GAAAUUUGCGGUUUGCUAAGUGGUUCGAGCGAUGCUUGCCUGCGGCCGGGGCGCUUCCCGGAGAGGCUGGGAACUGAGGGGUGGGAGGUGAAUUCCCCACCCCCACCCCCCGAGUGAAAGGUUCAUGGGGAAGUGUCCCAAAGACAGUAUACUUGACUUUGCCUGUUCCAAACU